rnacentral:rRNA from 1 species
GACGAACGCUGGCGGCGUGCUUAACACAUGCAAGUCGAACGGAAAGGCCCUGCUUUUGUGGGGUGCUCGAGUGGCGAACGGGUGAGUAACACGAGAGUAACCUGCCCUUGACUUUGGGAUAACUUCAGGAAACUGGGGCUAAUACCGGAUAGGAGCUCCUGCUGCAUGGUGGGGGUUGGAAAGUUUCGGCGGUUGGGGAUGGACUCGCGGCUUAUCAGCUUGUUGGUGGGGUAGUGGCUUACCAAGGCUUUGACGGGUAGCCGGCCUGAGAGGGUGACCGGCCACAUUGGGACUGAGAUACGGCCCAGACUCCUACGGGAGGCAGCAGUGGGGAAUAUUGCACAAUGGGCGGAAGCCUGAUGCAGCAACGCAGCGUGCGGGAUGACGGCCUUCGGGUUGUAAACCGCUUUCGCCUGUGACGAAGCGUGAGUGACGGUAAUGGGUAAAGAAGCACCGGCUAACUACGUG